GGCAGCGGGAGAAGGGGAGUGUGAGGGAGGGUAGCCACAAAACACCAAUUUGCGUCUUUGAUUCAUCAUUUAUUGUCACAUUAAUGCAACCAGACAGUUGAUUUACUAAAGCCAUGGAUUGGUCUUGAAAUUGUGCCAUCCAAGGACAAACUCAUAAGCCACAUUUCCAGCUUGACCUCCGUCUUCAAGUCUCUCAUCUCCACUUAUCAUUCCUCCGAUGACUCUGGACGGCGGUUGGCUCUGCCCGCAGCUCUCCCAGCUUGAUGUGGACCAGCACAGAUGGUGACAACAACUGACGUGAGGCCCGUGAACGUGCCCAAUGGGAGACUCUUUUUACUGAACACGGAGACGCAAGAGAAAAAAAAGGGAAGGGAGAGGGAAAAGCCGAAAGCGGCAUGGUGGAGGAAAGCCACCACCAGGGGCCUGGAAGAGGGCGCGGCGGGAUAGCCUGCGCCGGGUCGACAGGUAGCACUUAGUUGUGCUCUUUGAGAAGAAAGAGCGACACGUUAAAUCACCAAAAAUCUCCAAUUAUAUUAAAACAAGUUUCAUUUUC